rnacentral:rRNA from 1 species
AGAGUUUGAUCCUGGCUCAGAAUCAACGCUGGCGGCGCGCUUAACACAUGCAAGUCGCACGAGAAAGGGAGCAAUCCUAAGUAAAGUGGCGUACGGGUGAGUAACACGUGGAUCAUCUACCUCUUGGUGGGGAAUACCCCCGGGAAACUGGGGACAAUUCCGCAUAAGUUCGUGAGAAGAAAGCCGAAAGGCGCCGGGAG